UGGGGAAUUGUUCGCAAUGGGCGAAAGCCUGACGGAGUGACGCCGCGUGUGGGAUGAAGGCCUUCGGGUCGUAAACCACUGUCAGUGGGAAAGAUGGGUGUCGGCGUGAUAACCGCCGGCAUCUGACGGUACCUGCAGAGGAAGCCCCGGCUAACUCUGUGCCAGCAGCCGCGGUAAGACAGAGGGGGCAAGCGUUGCUCGGAAUUACUGGGCGUAAAGGGCGCGUAGGCGGGAUGGCAAGUCGGUCGUGAAAUCCCUCGGCUCAACUGAGGAGCGUCGAUCGAAACUGCCGUUCUUGAGGGUUGCAGAGGAGACUGGAAUUCCCGGUGUAGCGGUGAAAUGUGUAGAGAUCGGGAGGAACACCGGUGGCGAAGGCGGGUCUCUGGGCAACUCCUGACGCUGAGGCGCGAAAGCGUGGGGAGCAAACGGGAUUAGAUACCCCGGUAGUCCACGCUGUAAACGAUGACGACUAGGUGUGGGGGGGUUCAGUCCCUUCCGUGCCGCAGCUAACGCAUUAAGUCGUCCGCCUGGGGAGUACGGCCGCAAGGUUGC
rnacentral:rRNA from 1 species